rnacentral:tRNA from 13 species
GGGCCUGUAGCUCAGCUGGGAGAGCGUUCGGUUCGCAUCCGAGAGGUCGACGGUUCGAUCCCGUUCAGGUCCACCA